CUUGCGUCCGAUUAGCUAGUAGGCGGGGCAACGGCCCACCUAGGCGACGAUCGGUAGCCGGCCUGAGAGGGUGAUCGGCCACAUUGGGACUGAGAUACGGCCCAGACUCCUACGGGAGGCAGCAGUAGGGAAUAUUGCACAAUGGGGGGAACCCUGAUGCAGCAACGCCACGUGUGGGAAGAAGCAUUUCGGUGUGUAAACCACUGUCGUGAGGGAAUAAGGCUGUUUUUCGGAGCAGUUGAAUGUACCUCGAAAGGAAGCACCGGCAAACUUCGCGCCAGCAGCCGCGGUAAUACGAGGGGUGCAAGCGUUGUUCGGAAUCACUGGGCGUAAAGGGAGCGCAGGCGGAAGCUCAAGCGGAUUGUGCAAUACCGGGGCCCAACCCCGGACCUGCAGUCCGAACUGGGUUUC
rnacentral:rRNA from 1 species